rnacentral:tRNA from 1 species
GUUUUUCAAGUAUAUUAGUACAUUUGACUUCCAAUCAAAAAGAUUGAUUUUAUAUUCUUAAUCAAGAAAAACA